rnacentral:rRNA from 1 species
UACGUAGGGUGCGAGCGUUGUCCGGAAUUAUUGGGCGUAAAGAGCUCGUAGGCGGCUUGUCACGUCGGAUGUGAAAGCCCGAGGCUUAACCUCGGGUCUGCAUUCGAUACGGGCUAGCUAGAGUGUGGUAGGGGGAGAUCGGAAUUCCUGGUGUAGCGGUGAAAUGCGCAGAUAUCAGGAGGAACACCGGUGGCGAAGGCGGGUUGCUGGGCUGACACUGACGCUGAACUGCGAAAGCUAGGGGAGCGAACGGG